rnacentral:tmRNA from 1 species
GGGGGCGUUUUGGACUCGCUCGGGGAAGCAGUGACAAAAGUUGCGCGUCGAGAUUCCACCUGGUCUCGUUAAACGGUGGACCAAAAUAGUUAACGAAAAUAAUUACGCCCUAGCUGCCUAAGUGCUGUUAGCAUCCUGCUUUCAAGACCUACGAUGAAGGGCCAGGGUGUCAAUUUAGUAGGACGCUCAAAUUCAAUGCUCGAAGACAUUAGCUAAGAUGAUCGAGCUAGUCUGAAAUGAAUCCUUGCCUUUAGGAGUCAUUAACGGUGAAGGUUAAAUUAAAGGACACACGCGUAGACGCUUUUGUGGCAGCUCUUCGAUACAGGGGCGCAAAUCCCCUCGUCUCCGCCA